rnacentral:lncRNA from 11 species
UGAUCGACGAGUUAUCAGACGCCAGGUGGAUGGUUCAAAAUCCGGUUUACCGUAGAUUAUCCCAGAGCACGGACACUGCCAAUAAUAGCAGCAUCAAAUUCGACCUGGACCGUUUUGUGGCAGAAGUCCCACUCAAGACAGCAUAAAAAGGCCUUCAUCAGAGGGCCUUUUAUUUGCAGGCUCAAAUAGGCACUGCACUCCACGCGACGUUCUCAUCGCUCAGCACCCC